AUCCAAACACUGUUGUGGUAAUUUCUGCUUUCUCCUUUUCAGGUGAGAGAUUCUUGCCUCUGCAUCCACAAGAGUUAUACUGUAUUAAUUCCUGCUGUUUUAGUAUGAAACAACAGAACACAGCGAGUCCCAGACUCUUCAUAGAAUACCCAGAUCCCGGACAGUCCUGGACAAUUGGAUCUUGACUCCCGGAGUUUCAGCACCAAAAAUGUUGGGGUAUAAUCCAGAAAAAUACCGCCUGCAGGAUUAUGUUCAAAAAGAGGAGGAUUUCUCUGACCAGC